AAUGGUUGAGUUAUAUUUUAGGUUAGAAGUUAAGUUUGGGGAAAUGUAAAAAUGAAAGGUAAGAUUAGAAAAAAAAAACACACAAAAGGGUAGGAGAAAAAUAAAUAAAGGUGGCAGUGUUUUUGUUUUGUUUAUGGGGGGAGGAAUGUCACGAUCCUACUGUUGGGUAAGGUUAAGCUGGUUGGUAACUGGUGGUCAUGGUAACGGUGGGAGUGGCUCCCUUGAUUGGUCGAUUGUGGUCACCUGGGGAUCCAAGAUGGUGGAUAUACACACAGCAUGGUGGCCAGUGGUUACAGCCCCGGCAGGAUAAGACUUUGUAAAGCCAUUCACCCAGAUGCCAGUACACACCAGAGCUAAGGAGUCCAACGGGGGAACGUGACCGCCCCUUCACCGUCUUUGUUUGUCAAGUGUUUGUCUAAACAUGUAAACCAUAACUGAACGAGACAGCUACCGUUCACCACAACGCUUGGGCUAUCCCCAUAACAAGAGAGAGAAGGACCAGCGCUCACCAGGAACCCAGUUCAGCGAGAAAGGCGACGAAGAAUAAGAAGGGGGCGUUCCAGUCUGCGUAAACGGGAACCCCUACCACACGAGAACGCCCAUUUGUGUCUGCAGUGGGAUGAUAUUGCCUCGCAUUCGACAAACCCUCCCAGGUUUGCUGGAGAUGCUGAACCUGCAUCCAGACGUGGACGCGGCGAAGGCUGAGUGCGGUUAAGUGAGAUGUGUGCCCAAAUAAGGAUCUUGCCGGUCGUUUGGAUAAGACGCCAGCAUAAGGAUCUUGCCGGUCGUUUUGGUUAAAACGCCAGCGUGGACCAGUCGACACGAGGACCGCGACUGUCCGCUCGCUUCCACACGCACACACACACUCCUCCAAGUGAGGUGACGGGUACAUUUGUUUGUUGUUUGCUCCUGUGAGUGAAGCGGCCGUUCUGUUUUUGGCCUCCACGUACCCAAGCGACGACACAGGCCUGCAACGUGGGGAUAAAUAGUUUGUGCCGGCAUAGGACUUUAUUUUGCUUUGUACAUUAUCUUUCCAAAAUGCAUUUGAUUCCAUGUGUGAAUUGUUUACCUGUGGGUCGAUGCACAGAAUGAUUCAUGUUGAUGUUUAACGUGUUAAAUUCAAUGAAACCUAUCUUUCAUAGUAAAUUAUGUGUGUUUUAUUGUAAUUACCAUGCCAGUGAGUCCUGU